AGAUAUGAAACGUAUACUGUCAUGGACACGUGCAUUGCACGUGUCCCUUCUCACGAAAUAUCCACCGGGAAAUUCCAACCUCCAAAACGAUCGUCAUCUUCUUCACUCCUCAAUGGCGACAGCUCUACUCCUCCACCACAUUCCCUUCAAUCCCCAAAGCCCUAACCCUAACCCUAACUCCCUUAAAUCCCACUAUCCUCGUUCCUCCACAAUCACCUGCUCCACAACCACCUCCGAAGCUCUCUCCGCCAAGCGCCACCUCCUCAACCUCAUUUCCGACCAAGAACGAGGCCUCAAAACCCUAAACAAUCCGAGCAAGCGUUCUGAAAUUGUGGAAGCCAUCGACGCCAUGGCCGUUCUGGGCCAGGAUACGGUCACCACCGGUGAUUCUCUCUCUGCCACGUGGCGGUUGCUCUGGACUACAGAGAAGGAGCAGCUAUUCAUUAUCGAAAAGGCGCCCCUUUUCGGUACACAGGCGGGUGAUGUUUUGCAGGUUAUAGAUGUUGAGAAACGCGUUCUUAACAAUGUCAUUACGUUUCCGCCUUCCGGGGUUUUCUUUGUUAGAUCAACCAUUGAGAUUGCUUCGUCGAAGAGAGUGAAUUUUAGAUUUACAAGUGCGGUUCUACGUGGAAAGGAUUGGGAAUUUCCAUUGCCGCCAUUUGGCCAGGGUUGGUUUGAAUCUGUGUACCUUGAUGAUGAAAUUCGAGUUGUGAAGGAUAUAAGGGGAGACUAUUUGGUUGUUGAUCGUGCUCCUUAUGCUUGGAAGGAAUGAAGAGCAGGAGCUUUUGCUAUACUUCACGGUUUCUAUAAUUGGAAUAUAUUGUUGGCUAAUAUGAAGGAUUUUCUCUCUGAGUGGAGAAAUAAUCAAAAUUAUUCCCCUUCUCUGCAGGUUUGAAUCUGUAUACCUAGAUAGUGGUUUUCGAGUAGCAAAGGACAUCCGGGAAGAUUAUUUAGUUGUUGAACGGGCACCUUAUGAAUGGAAAGAGUGAGCUGCAUUAACGAAGUUUUCUUUUGGAUUGCAUAGCUCCUGGACAUUAACUCUAGAAGCAUGAGUUCUGGCUUAUGUUUAUAUGUUCCAUGGAAUUAGUUCCUGCUAUGGACUGGAUGGAUGACCACCAAAGAAUCUGAAUGAGAAGAUGGAAUUGCAUUCCUUUGGUCCAGAGUAGAUCAUCUCAGCAUAUUGUGUUUUCUGAAAUAAGAACAGUAUAUGACCUUCCAAAGGUAUUUACACAUCAUGGUAUUUUUCACAUGCAUUUAGUUGUCAUUGUCUUAUCCAUAUUUAACUUCAGUGCUAUCUUGUACCUAUUCAUCUCUGCUACAAAUUUUGGUUCUUCAGCUUGGGGACCCCUACGUGUCCAUCACGGGUUUGCAGUUUUUCUGUUUAUCAGAUAGAUGCCUAUUUUGUUAAUUUAUACCUCUGUUUCAAUAGUAGUGUCCUUUAGCCUUCUUAGUUCGUU